AGCUCCAAUAGCGUAUAUUAAAGUUGUUGUGGUUAAAAAGCUCGUAGUUGGAUCUCAGCCCACGCUCGGGCGGUGCGGUGCUAGCGCGCCGGCUACUGCCUCGACUGGGCAGCAUACCGAAGCGUCCUGCGGUGCCUCUAACCGGGUGGCGCAGGCGGUCGGUACGUUUACUUUGAAAAAAUUAGAGUGCUCAAAGCAGACAGCUCGUCUGGAUAGUGUUGCAUGGAAUAAUGAAAUAGGACUUUGGUUCUAUUUUGUUGGUCUCCGGAACCAAGGUAAUGAUUAAGAGGGACAGACGGAGGCAUUAGUAUUGCGACGCUAGAGGUGAAAUUCUUGGACCGUCGCAAGACUAACAAAAGCGAAAGCAUUUGCCAAGAAUGUUUUCA
rnacentral:rRNA from 1 species